rnacentral:rRNA from 1 species
GCAAGUCGAGCGAAUGGAUUAAGAGCUUGCUCUUAUGAAGUUAGCGGCGGACGGCCGAGUAACACGUGGGUAACCUGCCCAUAAGACUGGGAUAACUCCGGGAAACCGGGGCUAAUACCGGAUAACAUUUUGAACCGCAUGGUUCGAAAUUGAAAGGCGGCUUCGGCUGUCACUUAUGGAUGGACCCGCGUCGCAUUAGCUAGUUGGUGAGGUAACGGCUCACCAAGGCAACGAUGCGUAGCCGACCUGAGAGGGUGAUCGGCCACACUGGGACUGAGACACGGCCCAGACUCCUACGGGAGGCAGCAGUAGGGAAUCUUCCGCAAUGGACGAAAGUCUGACGGAGCAACGCCGCGUGAGUGAUGAAGGCUUUCGGGUCGUAAAACUCUGUUGUUAGGGAAGAACAAGUGCUAGUUGAAUAAGCUGGCACCUUGACGGUACCUAACCAGAAAGCCACGGCUAACUACGUGCCAGCAGCCGCGGUAAUACGUAGGUGGCAAGCGUUAUCCGGAAUUAUUGGGCGUAAAGCGCGCGCAGGUGGUUUCUUAAGUCUGAUGUGAAAGCCCACGGCUCAACCGUGGAGGGUCAUUGGAAACUGGGAGACUUGAGUGCAGAAGAGGAAAGUGGAAUUCCAUGUGUAGCGGUGAAAUGCGUAGAGAUAUGGAGGAACACCAGUGGCGAAGGCGACUUUCUGGUCUGUAACUGACACUGAGGCGCGAAAGCGUGGGGAGCAAACAGGAUUAGAUACCCUGCUAGUCCACGCCGUAAACGAUGAGUGCUAAGUGUUAGAGGGUUUCCGCCCUUUAGUGCUGAAGUUAACGCAUUAAGCACUCCGCCUGGGGAGUACGGCCGCAAGGCUGAAACUCAAAGAAUUGACGGGGGC